rnacentral:rRNA from 1 species
AAAAGAGCCAAAUCACCCUGCAGUUCUUGCUUGAUUUCACACUGAAGCUAAGCAGGGUUAAGCGUGGCCAGUACCUGGGUGGGAGACCUUCUGGGGAAAACUAAGGUUGCUGCUGUUG